rnacentral:rRNA from 1 species
UACGUAGGGUGCGAGCGUUGUCCGGAAUUAUUGGGCGUAAAGGGCUCGUAGGCGGUUUGUCGCGUCGGGAGUGAAAACUCAGGGCUUAACCCUGAGCCUGCUUCCGAUACGGGCAGACUAGAGGUAUGCAGGGGAGAACGGAAUUCCUGGUGUAGCGGUGAAAUGCGCAGAUAUCAGGAGGAACACCGAUGGCGAAGGCAGAUCUCUGGGCCGUAACUGACGCUGAGGAGCGAAAGCGUGGGGAGCGAACAGG